ACACUUUUUUGUUUGGCUGUUCUGUGGACACGUGCUCUGUGGUUAGCAGUGCCUGUGGAACAACUUACUGUACGCUGAUGCUUUUCUAGCUCCUUAGCCCCUCAACUCAUGCUGGGGGUGAAUGCUGCCUUGGACUUGUCUGUAGAGAUGCUUGACCAUAUUUUACCAUUGCCAACUGAUGUAAAAGAAAGGAUUGUCCCUAUGAAAGAAUGAAGGAAGAAUCUUCUGGCAGUAAUGAGGUAAUGCAGAGCCUUUGGUGUUUGAAAGGAUCUGAGCUCUGUAAUAUCCACCCAGAUUUUGAGUGUUGCACACUUGGAUCUUUCUCCUCGAGCUGGUUUGAAUGUCUGCUCCAGUGUCCAGCCUUGCUGUACUGUUCCCUGCAUUUCAAAUAUUGCUGAGAGAAGUGAAAAUGAAUGUUGUAUUGCCUUGAGGAAGUUCAUCUGCCUUGCAUCAGAGAGCCAGAUGGCCCAAGGAUUUGGUGACAGAUUAUGAAGGCUUACACUUGAUUGAUUUCUGGAUAGUAGACAGUGCAGUGUGGGUCUUCUGUUCUGCUGCAGCCUUAGCCACAAAAAACUUAAAUCUCAGUCCCUUCAUUCUGUGACAUGAUGAUGCCUGAUAUAUGAGGGCUGCUCUGAAAGUAAUGCUUCCUAUUUUAUUAUGUUGGUCCACAACACCAAGGGGUGGAUAUCUCUGAUAUGGCAGUAGAGGCAGAACCUUCCCACCAAUAUUCCGUUACGUUUUGUUGCAACAGUGACAGUGCUGAAAUAUCGCAAAGUUUGCGCCAGGCAAGACCCGUGGAUGCUCACACAGGAACAGAAGGAGCACUGCAUGCAAGUUUGUUGGGACCCAUUGAACAAAUACGAAGCUGAAGGUGACAGCAUCCUGGAUUGCAACAUUACCAGUGACGAGGCAUCGUGUCAUCACUACGAGCCAAAGUCAACACGACAGUCCAUGGAGUGAUGACAUGUGAAUUCUGCAUUAGAGAAAAAGUUCAAGACAC
rnacentral:lncRNA from 1 species